GAGACUCGAGGGCGCCUCGGGGGGACUCCGGAGGGGGCGCGCGGCGCCCCUGGGCCCGGCGCGGGCGGGGGGCGCACCCCCUUUACCUGCGGCUCCGGCUCCUCGGCCAUUUCCUCGCUCGGCGGCGGCCGGGACUGAACUGACACCACACGAGCGAGCCGAGGUGGCAUCCUGGUGCAACAAAGAAGACGUGGCAAAUUGGGGGACACCGCUGUCCGUUUACUUUCUCUCCCGUGUGGAGGGCACGCUCAGAGAAUCAGAGCUGUCACCGAUAAGCAUACUGGCCACUGGACUAGCCGAAUCUUCACCCCUUGAAGUUAUCACUGCCUUUGCUUUAACAAGAGGAAACUGAGACUCAAGAUGAAAUCAAACGGCACUAAAAACAGAACACCUGCUCCAUUUUGACCAUGAGUACGUUGUCAGAGAGGCCUUGAAGGUGCCUUCCCAAGUGGAUUACCUGGCCACAUAAAAGAGAGACAGGUAAUUUAUGAAAGGACUCUUCGUGGCAUUUGUACUUUGUCUAUUUCCAGCCUGUUUCAGCUUUCUCGGGACCCACCCGACCUCGAGGAUGGUGAGCGGGCUCCUGGGAGUGAAACCGAUGUCCGAUUUGUCGAUUUGUCGCAGUCCAGAGCGAGAUGCUACGGUGAGCUCCACCUGAGGGCUUCCUCCACGCCUUCCCACUCCGCCGUGUGGGAUUAAUUCAGAGAUUUUCUAAAGUAUUUACUUAGACGCACUCUCCUUCUGAGUCAGUAUGGACUUUGUUCAUCCCAUUUCCUUGAAAUAUGUCCACCUUCAUGGGUGAACACAGGAGCGCGCUUUCUUCCAGAGCACACGUGGAUAGUAUGUAUUUACAGAGAUGUCAAACAGACAGACAUACAAAAAACAAAACAUGUAAUAUUUGAGCUUCCCUCCCAAAGGGAGGACAGGUGCUUCUCUGGCUUGUAGUAAACGUUGCAAGAUUGGUAAUUUGAUACAUAGCGUGAGAAUCCACUGCGGGGCGUCUCUCUUUUUUGUCUUUCUUUCUCUCUUCUCAUCAGACUGUGUGUCUGGCUUGGAGAACCAGCCAGGGACCCAGGUAGUGGUGAGCCCAACAACCUGCCACACCAGACUCAAGUGACAAAAAGUCUGAUUGCGCAAUAUUCUCAGCAGGUUGGCUUUCCACGUUCUAGAAAACGUUUUUAAUGGGUUUGAGAUCCUUUCACACUAAGCACUUUGGGCUUGAACUGUCGUGCCUUGUCAUGAAGUUGUGUUUGGAACUGUGGUGAAAGUCGGGAUUUUUCUCUUCCUCCUCUUUUUUUUUUUUUUACCCCCCCCCCACCUUUAAAAACAAGAUAAGCCCCGUAUGCAAAUAGAGUCCACAGCUACCACCACCGUCCUGGUUCUCAGCUUUAUUUCUCCUGCUGCAGAGCCUGCCUUCACCCAUUAUACGCUAUUUGCAUACCUUUAACAUUAGAAACAUUUAUUCCAGGAAUGAGUCAUUGGAGGCAUCUUCUGCGUUUACAGCUCGGAAGCUGGAUUCAGUAGCAUUAAUGCCAGAAGAAUGGAUGUCUUCUGUAUUAAAAACCUCGGGAUUGUUUGUGCGUAGAGAGAGACAGAAAGAGAGAGAGUUUCUGUUUUGUUUUUGUUUGUUUCAUUUGAAGAGUGAAAUGUGCUCAAAUACAUUAAAGAUAAUGCUUGAGAUAUAUUUAGGUACAUGCUUCACACCCUAAAGCAAUAUGCGGUAUGAAUGAGAAUGUCUCACUCUGCGGGGAGAGAAAUGGCAGACUAUAUACCCUUCCUGAGCCGGCUAUAACCAGCCUCUCAAACAAGAGUGAGGGCUGAGUACCUUGAACAUUUUUUCCCCCAGCUCUACUGCGAUAUAAUGGACACACGACAUUGUGGAAGUUGAAGGUGCACAACCUGUUGAUCGGAUACAUUCGAUUUUGACAGAUGUCUUUUAAUGGAAAAAAAAAAAAAAAAAGGAAAGAGAAAGACAACCCCAAUGCUUUUCUCAGAGAGAACAGGAAGCCUGAAGGAGGAAGUAUGUGACAGUUUAUUUUUCAACAAGCACACAGUGUCAAGUGAAUGAAAUCCCUCUGGAAGCUGUAAAAAAUGGAGGCUGGAAGGUGGCUGUGUUCAGGUAGCACAAAAGGCUUCUCAAUAUUUAGAACCUUUUUCUC